ACCCCACCUCCAGCAGAGCAGCUCUGUUUUUAAUCUCUAGUUCACAUUGAACCUCCUGGGUCUGUGUAAUGGCAGAGAAGUCUUCAGAAUAUACCUAAUCUAUGGUUGCUGUUUAGUGAAAAUUCCAAAGGAAUAAUCAGAUGGGUG